rnacentral:rRNA from 1 species
GUCGAACGCGAAAGCCCCGCAAGGGGUAAGUAGAGUGGCAAACGGGUGAGUAACACGUGGGUGACCUGCCUUCGAGUGGGGGAUAACGUCCCGAAAGGGACGCUAAUACCGCAUGACAUCCUGCUUUUGGAAAAGCGGAGAUCAAAGCUGGGGAUCGCAAGACCUGGCGCUUGAAGAGGGGCCCGCGCCUGAUUAGCUAGUUGGUGGGGUAACGGCUCACCAAGGCUACGAUCAGUAUCCGGCCUGAGAGGGCGGACGGACACACUGGGACUGAGACACGGCCCAGACUCCUACGGGAGGCAGCAGUGGGGAAUUGUUCGCAAUGGGCGAAAGCCUGACGACGCAACGCCGCGUGGAGGACGGAGAUCUUCGGGUCGUAAACUCCUGUCGAGCGGGAAGAACGCUCCGUGGUUGAAUAGACUGCGGAAUUGACGGUACCGCUAAAGGAAGCCCCGGCUAACUCCGUGCCAGCAGCCGCG